rnacentral:lncRNA from 1 species
AUGAUCGGCACUGUUGAACAUAAUCUAUACUACUUGAAGUGUUUAGAAAUCAAAUUUAAAAUCUUUUCGACAUCAUUUGCCUAAUGAUCAAAGGGUUUCAAAAUUUCUAAUUUUAAUGGUCGAUAUGAGACGUUUUCUUGUUUAACGGCGUAAAAAUAUCCAAAUCAAUUGAAUUUUUAUUAAAAAAUUCUUUAAACUAUUUAAAACAAGAUCUAUACUCUUGAUCUUGAUUAUAAGACUCUCAUCAUUUUUUAAAGAAUAUUCAUUUUCAGCCGUUCAUUUUUGUAUCCAUUCGAUGAAUAAGAGAACAAUAUCGAAAAUAUAUAAAAUUUGAUUUCUAAAUACUUCAAAUGAUAU